rnacentral:rRNA from 1 species
AUUGAACGCUGGCGGCAUGCCUCACACAUGCAAGUCGAACGGCAGCACGGGAGCAAUCCUGGUGGCGAGUGGCGAACGGGUGAGUAAUACAUCGGAACGUGCCCAAUCGUGGGGGAUAACGCAGCGAAAGCUGUGCUAAUACCGCAUACGAUCCACGGAUGAAAGCAGGGGAUCGCAAGACCUUGCGCGAAUGGAGCGGCCGAUGGCAGAUUAGGUAGUUGGUGAGGUAAAGGCUCACCAAGCCGUCGAUCUGUAGCUGGUCUGAGAGGACGACCAGCCACACUGGGACUGAGACACGGCCCAGACUCCUACGGGAGGCAGCAGUGGGGAAUUUUGGACAAUGGGCGAAAGCCUGAUCCAGCCAUGCCGCGUGCAGGAUGAAGGCCUUCGGGUUGUAAACUGCUUUUGUACGGAACGAAACGGCCUUUUCUAAUAAAGAGGGCUAAUGACGGUACCGUAAGAAUAAGCACCGGCUAACUACGUGCCAGCAGCCGCGGUAAUACGUAGGGUGCAAGCGUUAAUCGGAAUUACUGGGCGUAAAGCGUGCGCAGGCGGUUAUGUAAGACAGUUGUGAAAUCCCCGGGCUCAACCUGGGAACUGCAUCUGUGACUGCAUAGCUAGAGUACGGUAGAGGGGGAUGGAAUUCCGCGUGUAGCAGUGAAAUGCGUAGAUAUGCGGAGGAACCCCGACGGCGAAGGCAUCCCCUGGGCCUGGACUGACGCGUAUGCCGAAACGUGGGGGCGACAGGGAUAGAUACCCUUGUAGUCCAAGGGGAAUCCCAUUGGUAUCGGCUAUCGAUCCGCGAACCCCACGGGGGGCCCUGUGUCGGGUUGCUCCCCCCCGCCGCCCUCCUGGGGGAUUCCGACCCCCCCUUCUUGCUCCAUU